rnacentral:antisense_RNA from 1 species
AAGAUAUUCUAGGCCCCUUGUUGCUUCAGUCAUCAGUCUGUAAAUCACACAACACUAAUUUUCCAUCAAGUAACAGCUUAAAACAGAACACUGUCAAGAUUUUGAUUUACUAAUUUAUAAUCUUAUUUCCAAGCAAAACAAGUCAAUUUCAUGUUACAACUUUUUUCUUGUUUCUUUUUAUCUUGUUUGGCCUGAGGGUUGGGGGAUUUGGGGGAGUUGUCAGCUGCACAAUCUUUGAAGUGUAAGUUAAUUAAUUUUUAUGUGAUAUUUCAGUAUAUAUUUUAUUGAUUAAAUUUAUUGGAAAACU